UGCUUGAAACUCAAAGAAUUUGGCGGUGUUUUAGUCUAUUCAGAGGAAUCUGUUCCGUAAUCGAUAAUACACGAAUAAUUUAAUUUAGUUUUGUAAACAAUUUGUAUACCGCCGUCAUCAGAUUAUCUUUGUAGAGAAUAAUAAUCUUAAGUCUUAUUAGGAAAAAUGUCAGGUCAAGGUGCAGUUUAUGACUAAGGGGAGAUGGAUUACAAUAAAAUAAUUUAAACGGAAAUUAAAGUGAAAAUUUAAUUAAAGGUGGAUUUGAAGGUAAUAUUAAUAUAUUAUUAAUUUGAUUAUAGCUCUAGAACAUGCACACAUCGCCCGUCGCUCUCGUUACUAAGAUGAGAUAAGUCGUAACAAAGUAGGUGUACUGGAAAGUGUACCUAGAAAGUAAG
rnacentral:rRNA from 1 species